UUCACAUGUGCUCUCGCUCAGAAACCGAAUGACCAAGGAAACAAACCCGAAGGCAGCCCACCUGGCUGACAGGGGAGAGUGGGGACCAGGCCAUAGUUCCUUGGACUCCUAAGAGGGGCUUCCAGGACCGAGUUUGGGCACCAUUGUUGAAAUGCACGCCCCGGGCCCGUGUCCUAAUCUAGGCCCUCAGCAGGUUUUGUUGCUUUGCAGGCAAAGCUGUCCAUCUUGGGAUUCCUUAGGCUCCCACCCAGCAUCACCCCCUCACCCAGCAGACUGUUGUAUGACCAUGUUGCCACCAGGCCAUGAAAGCCUGGAGGACAGCCUAGAGGAGGUGCCUUAAACAGAAAUGAGUUUUCAAAGGACCCAAAGGACCCAACACUUGCCACUGAUUGGCCCCUGACUUAGUUUCCCAAAACUGUGCUCCCUUGUCUGCCCGUCUAGCUCCAAGCCCUAGUCUCUGUGUGUGAGCUAUCAGGACACGACAGCGUUGCCUGCAGUGCCGGUUUGCCGAGGCCACGCUAGGUCCUGGGACGGUGAGUGGCCCUUGGUUGGGAGAAUGAAAACCCAGCGUCCUGAUCCCUGGUCAGCCCUCCCCACGUGACCUCAAACCAACAUUGGGACUGACAUCUUCCCUGGGAAGCCACGUAGGAGCUGCCCCUGACCUCCACGGUGCCCGGAGCUGUGCUGGAGUCUGGGUUAAAGGCCAGAGCACAGUCCAUCCUAACCCAGAACCCCGGUCUGGGUGCCGCACGCAUGUUCCUUCUGGAGCUUUAAGAAUACAGGGCACGGGCACCUGAGGCUCACGGCCUGCCCCCGCCAGAGGCCCGAGCCAGAGCGGCGACCGCUGCUGUGUCGCCGCUGUCAUCAGUUGCACCAGCAGGGCACCAGGAAGCUGAACCCCGAGGGGCCCGGGCAGAGGCCCGCCUGUGCUCUUGCUAAGGACCAGCUCCCGGGACGCUGCCAGAUGACAGGAAGACAGCGGGCGCAGGACAGACGGACAGGGAUCUGACCGUCACAGAGCUGCUCCCUCGCACGAGGGGCUGGCCCAGAGGUUUCUCUGACGCGGCGGAGCUGGGCUUCAGGGCGCCCCAGAGGAGCAGCAGACGUCAAUGGUCCUCAGUGGCCGGCGGGAACAAGAACACCGUGGCCAGACUGACACCGGCCUCGUCCCUCCCUGAGCGAGCUCCCGGGGCUCGCUUGUCUGCCACCUGCCUGCACAGCCGGGCCCCCGGCGAUGGGGAUGUAAACGUAUGAAUCAGCCAGGCGCACCAGCCCCAGCGCCAGAACCUUUCUCUAGGCGAAGCAAUUUGCAGCAAAAUAUGCUGUAAAUAUUUGCUCAGCUCAGGAAAAUGACUUUAAUUGCAUAAUUAAACUUGUUGUCAUGCUGCUUCCGGACAAAGUGACUGGGGGGAAGCUGGGACCACAGCUGGCCCUCUGAGUUUGUGGAAUAGAGGGGCUGACUGUUCGCAAAGACUUUGCUCUGGCCCGUCUUCCCUCCCUGAAAUGGGGGGUCAGGGGGGAAGGAGGAAGGGGCUCAGAGAGAGGAGAGAGGGGAAAAGUUCCCCAAAUCAGAGAAGCAGCUGCAAAGGGACCCCCAGGCCCUGGGGCAGAACUGCCCCUGAGUUUUCCGAAUGCCCUGUGCAGGCCCCGCCUCCCGUGGGUCACGGGUAACUUGAGCAGAUAACCCCUCGCUGAAGUAGAACGCAAUCGUAGGUUAAAAGAAAUUUGCCUUAGAAGAAAACAUUGCAUUCCAGCCAUUAAUGAAAAGCCAGGAUUCCUUGAUAAGGUGGUUACCACACAAACACAGCGCGUAGCCAGGCCCAGAAGGCCGGCCACAUGCUGGCAAACCCACAAAAAGACGGGUGGUCCCCGGGGUCCGGGGAAGUGGCACCGGGAGUGACUGCCGAUGGGAGCAGGGUUUCUUUUUGGGGUGAUGACAUGUUCUAAAACUAGAUUGUGGCAAAGGCUGCUCAU